rnacentral:rRNA from 1 species
UGCGUAAGAGCUCGUAGGCGGUUUGUCGCGUCUGCUGUGAAAGACCGGGGCUCAACUCCGGUUCUGCAGUGGGUACGGGCAGACUAGAGUGCAGUAGGGGAGACUGGAAUUCCUGGUGUAGCGGUGAAAUGCGCAGAUAUCAGGAGGAACACCGAUGGCGAAGGCAGGUCUCUGGGCUGUAACUGACGCUGAGGAGCGAAAGCAUGGGGAGCGAACAGGAUUAGAUACCCUGGUAGUCCAUGCCGUAAACGUUGGGCACUAGGUGUGGGGGACAUUCCACGUUUUCCGCGCCGUAGCUAACGCAUUAAGUGCCCCGCCUGGGGAGUACGGCCGCAAGGCUAAAACUCAAAGGAAUUGACGGGGGCCCGCACAAGCGGCGGAGCAUGCGGAUUAAUUCGAUGCAACGCGAAGAACCUUACCAAGGCUUGACAUGAACCGGUAAUACCUGGAAACAGGUGCCCCGCUUGCGGUCGGUUUACAGGUGGUGCAUGGUUGUCGUCAGCUCGUGUCGUGAGAUGUUGGGUUAAGUCCCGCAACGAGCGCAACCCUCGUUCUAUGUUGCCAGCGGUUCGGCCGGGGACUCAUAGGAGACUGCCGGGGUCAACUCGGAGGAAGGUGGGGACGACGUCAAAUCAUCAUGCCCCUUAUGUCUUGGGCUUCACGCAUGCUACAAUGGCCGGUACAAAGGGUUGCGAUACUGUGAGGUGGAGCUAAUCCCAAAAAGCCGGUCUCAGUUCGGAUUGGGGUCUGCAACUCGACCCCAUGAAGUCGGAGUCGCUAGUAAUCGCAGAUCAGCAACGCUGCGGUGAAUACGUUCCCGGGACCUUGUACACACCCGCCCGUCAAGUCACGAAAAGUUGGUAACACCCCGAAGCCGGUGGCCCUAACCCUUGUGGGGGGAGCCGUCGAAGGUGGGACCGGCGAUUGGGACUAAGUCGUAACAAGGGUAACCAGCU